GUGCACCAGUCGCGAAUCCUCCUCAAUGCACUCACGUGCGAAGGGGUUACCUCGAGUGCCGCCUGAAGAAGGCGGCUUUUCCAUGGUCUAAAAGCCUAGGGAAUAAGAGGGGGCAAGACUGGUGUCAGCCGCCGCGGUAACACCAGCCCCUCGAGUGGUGGGGAUGAUUAUUUGGCCUAAAGCGUCCGUAGCCGGCCGGGUAAGUCUCCCGUUAAAUCCAGCGUCUCAAGCGUUGGACUGCGGGAGAUACUGUCUGGCUAGAGAGGUGGGAGAGGUGUACGGUAUUCGUGGGGUAGGGCGAAAUCCUUGA
rnacentral:rRNA from 1 species